rnacentral:rRNA from 1 species
CCUACGGGGGGCAGCAGUGGGGAAUAUUGCACAAUGGGCGCAAGCCUGAUGCAGCCAUGCCGCGUGUAUGAAGAAGGCCUUAGGGUUGUAAAGUACUUUCAGUUGGGAGGAAGGCGUUGAUGCUAAUAUCAUCAGCAAUUGACGUUACCCGCAGAAGAAGCACCGGCUAACUCCGUGCCAGCAGCCGCGGUAAUACGGAGGGUGCAAGCGUUAAUCGGAAUUACUGGGCGUAAAGCGCACGCAGGCGGUCUGUCAAGUCGGAUGUGAAAGCCCCGGGCUCAACCUGGGAACUGCAUUCGAAACUGGCAGGCUAGAGUCUUGUAGAGGGGGGUAGAAUUCCAGGUGUAGCGGUGAAAUGCGUAGAGAUCUGGAGGAGUACCGGUGGCGAAGGCGGCCCCCUGGACAAAGACUGACGCUCAGGUGCGAAAGCGUGGGGAGCAAACAGGAUUAGAUACCCUUGUAGUC